ACUGCUCAGUAACACGUAACUAACCUGCCCUUAAGUCAGGGAUACCCUCGGGAAACUGAGACUAACACCUGAUAGGAGAUUAGGCCUGGAACGGUUUUUCUCCUAAACUCGUGCUUAAGGAUGGGGUUGCGGCUGAUUAGCUUGUUGGUGGGGUAACUGCCUACCAAGGCGAUGAUCAGUAGGGGCUCUUAGCGGAGUCGCCCCGAGAGGGAAUCUGAGACACUAUUCCCAGCUCUACGGAGUGCAGCAGUCGCGAAUCUUUUGCAAUGCGCGCAAGCGUGACAAAGCGAGCCAAAGUGCUUUUCAUUUUAGAAAAGCUUUUUUUCAUUUUAAAAAGAUGGAAGAAUAAGGACUGGGCAAGACCGGUGCCAGCCGCCGCGGUAAUCCCGGCAGUCCAAGUUGCAGCCAACUUUAUUGGGUCUAAAACAUCCGUAGCUUGUCUGUUAAGUUCCUUGUGAAAUCUCACAUCUUAAGUGUGAGGCUUGCGGGGAAUACUGGCAGACUCGGGACCGGUAGAUGUGGGGAGUACACUGGAGGUAGUGGUAAAAUACGUUAAUCUUCAGUGGACUAACAAUGAGCGAAGGCACCCUACAAGGACGGAUCUGACAGUGAGGGAUGAAGGCCAGGGGCGCGAAACGGAUUAGAUACCCGUGUAGUCCUGGCAGUAAACACUGCUCACUAAACAUCGGGCCCUCUUCGGGAGGAUUCGGUGCUGAAGCGAAGGCGAAGAGUGAGCUACCUGGGAAGUAUAGUCGCAAGAUCGAAACUUAAAGGAAUUGGCGGGGGAGCAC
rnacentral:rRNA from 1 species